GAGGGAACACGUUUUAUCUUUCAAAAUAGGUAUAUAUCAUUUUACCCCUUUAAUUGACAUUCAAAACUAAAAAUAAUUAAAAGUUGGUGUGGUGUAUUAGCGAAAGCAAAAUUACAUAAAUCACACGGUUACAUGAUCAUAAUAUAACAAGUAAAACCGGCACACCACGAGCAUGUAUGUAAUGUACGUCCAUGCAUGCAUUUUAUUCAUUACAUCUUAAUUAGGCUUAAUUAUAUAUAAGGCUGCCUUGCUUAGUUGUGAGUGUCGACCUCCGUCUUUUUAUCACCAGACGCUGCAACCGCCGGCGGGGCGGGGUAACCUCCAUUUCUGCCUCCCGGAAAACCUCCACUUCCGCCGCCGGGAAAACCUCCAUUACCGCCAUUUCCGCCGCCGGGAAAACCUCCAUUACCGCCAUUUCCGCCGCCAGGAAAACCUCCAUAACCACCUCCCGGAAAACCUCCAUUUCCGCCGCCGGGAAAACCUCCAUUACCGCCGCCGGGAAAACCUCCAUUUCCGCCGCCGGGAAAACCNNNNNN
rnacentral:lncRNA from 1 species